GGGGGCCGGGGACCCGCUCACGCCCAGAUGCCCUAGUGAAGGGUGAGGAAACUCCGUGCACCCCGCGGCAGCGCGGCCCCGUAAGGGGCACGGGUAGCCCCCGUGGCAACGGCACAGAAACGGUACGGCCACUACGAGAUGGCGAUGACACCAUCCAACCCCCGGUAACGGGGGUCGCAAAUGGUAGAGGACCGUGGUGGAGGCGUUGAAACGGCCGGCCCGCGCGGUGUAAGGCCCGGGCCCGGGAUGAGGUGCCGCGUGACCGGUAUGGGCCGCUUAGACAGAUGCGGGUAGACAGAACACGGGUUACGCCCCGGCCCCU
rnacentral:RNase_P_RNA from 1 species